rnacentral:rRNA from 1 species
GGUUGUCGUCAGCUCGUGCCGUGAGGUGUGGGUUAAGUCCCGCAACGAGCGCAACCCUCAUUGUUAGUUACUACCAUUCAGUUGAGGACUCUAAUGAGACUGCCAACGACAAGUUGGAGGAAGGUGGGGGAUGACGUCAAAUCAUCAUGCCCUUUAUGACCUGGGCUACAAACGUACUACAAUGGCCAAUACAAAGAGAUGCGAAGCGGUGACGUGAAGCGAACCUCAGAAAGUUGGUCUCAGUUCAGAUUGAAGUCUGCAACUCGACUUCAUGAAGGCGGAAUCGCUAGUAAUCGCGGGUCAGCAGACCGCGGUGAAUACGUUCCCGGGUUUU